AGUGAACGCUGGCGGUAGGCCUAACACAUGCUGGUCGAACGGCAGCACAGUAAGAGCUUGCUCUUACGGGUGGCGAGUGGCGGACGGGUGAGGAAUACAUCGGAAUCUACUUUUUCGUGGGGGAUAACGUAGGGAAACUUACGCUAAUACCGCAUACGACCUACGGGUGAAAGCAGGGGAUCUUCGGACCUUGCGCGAUUGAAUGAGCCGAUGUCGGAUUAGCUAGUUGGCGGGGUAAAGGCCCACCAAGGCGACGAUCCGUAGCUGGUCUGAGAGGAUGAUCAGCCACACUGGAACUGAGACACGGUCCAGACUCCUACGGGAGGCAGCAGUGGGGAAUAUUGGACAAUGGGCGCAAGCCUGAUCCAGCCAUACCGCGUGGGUGAAGAAGGCCUUCGGGUUGUAAAGCCCUUUUGUUGGGAAAGAAAAGCAGCAGGUUAAUACCCCGCUGUUCUGACGGUACCCAAAGAAUAAGCACCGGCUAACUUCGUG
rnacentral:rRNA from 1 species